UCUCUGUAAUGUGGAAAACAAAUGACAAGUCCGAUCCAAUCUAUUUUAUUAAACCAUGUGGACAAUGAAGGCAUUUGUCUGAAAAGAA